rnacentral:rRNA from 1 species
UACGAGGGGGGCAAGCGUUGUUCGGAUUUAUUGGGCGUAAAGGGUGCGUAGGCGGUUUGGCAAGUCUUGUGUGAAAUCUAUGGGCUCAACCCAUAGUCUGCAUAAGAAACUGCCGGGCUUGAGUAUGGGAGAGGUGAGUGGAAUUUCCGGUGUAGCGGUGAAAUGCGUAGAUAUCGGAAGGAACACCAGUGGCGAAGGCGACUACCUGGCCUGUUCUUGACGCUGAGGCGCGAAAGCUAGGGGAGCAAACGGG